CUUCACCGAGCCCAGCCACAGCGGGUGUUCGCGCGCACCGGCCCGGCCGUACGCCGCCAGGAACGCCUCCGCCUC
rnacentral:antisense_RNA from 1 species